UCGCGGCCUAUCAGCUUGUUGGUGAGGUAAUGGCCCACCAAGGCGACGACGGGUAGCCGGCCUGAGAGGGUGACCGGCCACACUGGGACUGAGACACGGCCCAGACUCCUACGGGAGGCAGCAGUGGGGAAUAUUGCACAAUGGGCGCAAGCCUGAUGCAGCAACGCCGCGUGAGGGACGACGGCCUUCGGGUUGUAAACCUCUUUUAGCAGGGAAGAAGCGAAAGUGACGGUACCUGCAGAAAAAGCACCGGCUAACUACGUGCCAGCAGCCGCGGUAAUACGUAGGGUGCAAGCGUUGUCCGGAAUUAUUGGGCGUAAAGAGCUCGUAGGCGGUUUGUCGCGUCUGCUGUGAAAAUCCGAGGCUCAACCUCGGACCUGCAGUGGGUACGGGCAAACUAGAGUGCGGUAGGGGAGAUUGGAAUUCCUGGUGUAGCGGUGGAAUGCGCAGAUAUCAGGAGGAACACCAAUGGCGAAGGCAGAUCUCUGGGCCGUAACUGACGCUGAGGAGCGAAAGCGUGGGGAGCGAACAGGAUUAGAUACCCUGGUAGUCCACGCCGUAAACGGUGGGAACUAGAUGUGGGGUCCGUUCCACGGACUCCGUGUCGCAGCUAACGCAUUAAGUUCCCCGCCUGGGGAGUACGG
rnacentral:rRNA from 1 species